GGAAAAUCUCGUUCCCAAGGGACCAUUGACCAGAAAGAAAAUGGCGGAAAAAUAAAAUCGUCUACGCCCUUGGCUGAUGUUUUCGUGCGUUUUCGGCCGCCCUUGAGGAAACAGAGCAGAUUUCUUGAGAUGCAUGAGUAGAUAACUGUCUCAAGUCAUCGAAGAUGAAGUUUGCGGAGCAUCUAUCGGCGCAUAUCACGCCGGAAUGGCGAACUCAGUACAUACAGUACGAGAUGAUGAAAGAUUUAUUGUACGAGGCACAAGAAAAUGCCCCAACAGAAGAAGUGGCAGGCACUGCUGUCAUUCAGCGAUAUUUUGCAAAGUUUGAAGAAAAAUUCUUCGUCACCUGCGACAAGGAGCUGGCCAAAAUCAACACAUUCUUCUCAGAAAAGCUUGCGGAGGCUCAGCGUAAGUUUGCGAGUCUGCAGAGCGAGAUGAACCAGGUAACGGAGCAGGAGGAACCGAUCCCCACCUUACGCAGCCGGCGCCACAGCCUCCUACGCCGGUCCAGGUCCAAGGAGAAACUCAUCAAGACCAGAACACGCACCAUCCAGGACCUCAAGCUGGCCUUCUCUGAGUUCUACCUUAGUCUCAUCUUGUUACAAAAUUACCAGAGUCUGAACUUCACGGGCUUCAGGAAGAUCCUGAAGAAACACGACAAGUUGAUGGAGACUGACCGUGGAGCGGCCUGGAGAACUGAGCACGUGGAGGUCGCUCCCUUCUACACCAACAAACAGAUCGACAAACUCAUCGGGGAUACAGAGGCCGUGGUGACGUCAGAGUUGGAGGGGGGGAACAGACAGCGGGCCAUGAAGAGACUAAGAGUGCCCCCUCUAGGAGAACAGCAAACUCCGUGGACAACAUUUCGUGUAGGCCUGUUCUCUGGCAUCUUCUUGGUUUUGUCGUUGGUGGUGGUGAUAUCAGCCGUCUUCUCACGCUUCGACAUUGAACUUUGGCCCGCGGUGCGGAUGUACCGCGGGUCGUUCCUCAUCGUGUUCUUCCUGUACCUCCUGGGCCUGAACACCUGGGGCUGGCGCAAGUUUGGUGUCAAUCACGUGCUCAUCUUCGAGAUUGACCCGCGACACCAUCUCUCACAUAGUGAGAUACUAGAGGUUGCCAGUUUCCUGGGAGUGCUGUGGUCCAUGUCAGUACUGGGGUAUAUCUACAGUGAUGUGCUGAAGAUCCCCAGCUUUGUACAUCCACUGAUACUGGUGGGGUUCAUGUUACUGUUCCUCCUCAACCCUCUCAAGAUCUUCUACCACCGGGCUCGCUUCUGGUUCCUCAGGAUAUUGUUCCGAAUCUUCACAGCACCAUUCCACCCUGUGAACUUUGCAGACUUCUGGCUGGCUGACCAGUUGAAUAGCCUGGUGGCCGUACUGUUGGACUUUGAGUACAUGAUCUGUUACUUCAUCUAUGAAGUGGAGUGGCACGACGAUCCUAAUCCUAAGAUCUGUACCAGCUGGAAGUACGGUAUUCGCUCCGUCAUGGCCUGCCUGCCGGCCUGGUUUCGCUUCGCUCAGUGCCUGCGGCGUUACCGGGACACCAAACACGCCUUCCCUCACCUGGUGAAUGCUGGGAAGUACUCCACGUCUUUCUUUGUCAUCGCUUUUGCAACGCUGUCCAGAGUCCAUGGAGAGGUGACAGGUGAGACCCACAGCCACACCUUUUACUACCUGUGGAUCUGUGCAGCCAUCAUCUCCACCUGUUACACCUUCAGCUGGGACAUCAAGAUGGACUGGGGCCUGCUGGACAGGGCAGCCGGGGAGAACACGCUGCUCCGAGAGGAAAUCGUCUACCCAAAAAAGUUGUACUACUACCUGAGCGCAGUACAGAACUUCUUCCUGCGUUUUGCCUGGGUGAUGUCCAUCUCCCUGGGUGAGCUGGGGAUCCUACACGGGGAGCUCGUGGGUUCCCUCCUCGCACCGCUGGAAGUCUACAGGAGGUUUGUGUGGAAUUUCUUCCGUCUGGAGAACGAACACCUGAACAACUGCGGUGAAUUCCGCGCCGUGCGAGACAUCUCCGUCACCCCGCUCAACCAGGAUGACCAGGCCAUGCUGGAACAGAUGAUGGACGAAGAGGACGGAGUCACAAACAGACGCAAGGACAGAAAACCCUCGGAUCAGAAUAGUAACCUUCGCCCUGCAAGGUCAUUUUUCAUAAACACACCAUGGUCCAGUGUUGAAGAAGAUCCGUGAAGAAGCCCCAGUUGUGGGCAGAUGAGGAGGAGGAGGAAGAUGAGGAAGAGGAGGGAGAAGAGGACACCAUGAGAGUCUGAUCAUCCUCAUCACAGGAUACUACAUACAUUGUUCUUGAAGGUUCCCUCACAACAUCUAGCAGGCUUAAGGCAGGGACCUGUUGUUGCUGUAUAUAGUCUUGUCCUAGAUUUCUGUGUUGCCUGUAAUUUUAUCUUAGUUUGUAAUUGGGAUAAACAAAUGUUUGAUAAGAAACCCCAGGGAUGUUGUCAUGUUGUACAUGUUACAGUAUAUGACUUCUUGGCAUCUCUGAAUGUUUGCAUGACAGGUAAUAUUUCUGGAAGACAAGGCAAGUGUAUCCUUUGUAGGUCUUGCCAGAGUAAGGAGCUGAUACCUAUAGUCUGAAGGGACAGGUUUACACCUGGAGUUAUGUUUCAAUCAGGUAGGCCACAACCAAUUUCCUUUGGUUUGUUCAUGGGUAUUACAAAGUUGAGGGAAUAACUGAGAAUUUCAACCCAGUUAACAAUAUUUGUAAAAGGCAUCUUUUUUCAAGGAAAUAUAAUUGUCACUUGUACAUCUUUUCCACUUUUUAGUGAAGAAAAUUAGUAUAUUAAUUUGUAUGGUUUGUUUUGUUACUGUUGUUUUGUUCGUGUUGAGUAAGUUGAAGUCAGAAUCAUGCCAUCUAUAGAAAUUGUUGUAGAAAGUACAACAUGUAUAUUAUGUCCAUGUAUGUGAUCUGGCCUGUGUGGCAGUGUAAUACAUGUACCUUGGUGUGCUGUA